rnacentral:rRNA from 1 species
UACGAAGGGGGCUAGCGUUGUUCGGAAUUACUGGGCGUAAAGCGCACGUAGGCGGAUUUGUAAGUCAGGGGUGAAAUCCCGGGGCUCAACCUCGGAACUGCCUUUGAUACUGCAAGUCUUGAGUCCGGAAGAGGUGAGUGGAAUUCCUAGUGUAGAGGUGAAAUUCGUAGAUAUUAGGAAGAACACCAGUGGCGAAGGCGGCUCACUGGUCCGGUACUGACGCUGAGGUGCGAAAGCGUGGGGAGCGAACAGG